rnacentral:rRNA from 1 species
AUUGAACGCUGGCGGCAGGCCUAACACAUGCAAGUCGAGCGGAGCGACGGACGGGUGGGUAAUGCAUAGGAAUCUGCCUGGUCGUGGGGGAUAACGUCCGGAAACGGGCGCUAAUCUCGCAUACUAUGAGAUGAGGCUAGGUCGGAUGAGCUAGUUGGUGGGUUAAGGGCAUACCAAGGCGACGAUCCGUAACUGGUCUGAGAGGAUGAUCAGUCACACUGGAACUGAGACACGGUCCAGACUCCUACGGGAGGCAGCAGUGGGGAAUAUUGGACAAUGGGCGAAAGCCUGAUCCAGCCAUGCCGCGUGUGUGAAGAAGGUCUUCGGAUUGUAAAGCACUUUAAGUUGGGAGGUGUUACCAACAGAAUAAGCACCGGCUAACUUCGUGCCAGCCGCCGCGGUAAUAC